rnacentral:piRNA from 1 species
UGCUUGCUGGUCUGCUAUAGUUUGUGUCA